AUUAUUGUGAGAUCCUCAUAAUCCUAACAAACAUCUCAAUCUCAUCAAAACAAUACGAAAAACCCUAUCAUAAUCAUUGGUGAUGCAAGAAUAAAAUUUAAAAUAAGAGGAAACACAGAUGAAUAGAGUGACAAAAUAAACAAGUUAGAGAUGUGUAACCUUCAAAAGAUUAACCUAUAUCAGAAAUCAAUUGUUCCGUACAUUUGAUAGAUAAGAAAGAAAAUUACUCAUAAAAGAUAGAAAAAAAAGGAAAAUAUGACAAUUUUUCAGCAGUACGUAUUUUUUUACCCUUUUUAUUUUGUUUAUACAAUCAUAAACUGAUUAUGAACCAUAGAUUUCUAUUAAGUAAUGUAAGCUAAAUAUUUAUAUUAAGUACAUCGUCAAUUCUAUAAAUCAAUCAAACAUGUAAUGAGUAACAAACAUUAACAUUUAAUAAAUUAGAAAGAUAUGUAUUGAACAUCAAAAUUAAUUAAAUAUAUACUUAUAUCCUUAAGAACAUAAAAUGUCAUCUUCUAUAUUCUGAUAAUUAAAAAAUUAACAUAAGUUACACAGAUUAAAAAAUAUGCUAAAAUACUAAUUAUAAGUAGAAAAUGAAAAAGAAAAAAGAGAAAAGAAUAAUUACAAGAAAAUGAAAAAGAAAAAAGGAAAAUAGAACAAUUAGAAGAAAAUGAAAAUGAGACUGUAUGUAUUAAAGGAAACCAACUCAAUCAUUUUUCCAGUGUUACAUUAGCACCACCUGUAUUAUUGUGAGAUCCUCAUAAUCCUAACAAACAUCUCAAUCUCAUCAAAACAAUACGAAAAACCCUAUCAUAANUUGUAACCUCAAGAGGUCAACCUAUAUCCAAGACAUCCACCGGAUUAUCUUACCAUUUGGCUGGGUAUAAGAAUUGAAAACUUACCUCAUAAAAUAGGAAAGAAAAGAAAAAUAUGUAAUUUUUCAGUCUUAGUCGAAUUGUUUUUACCCUUUUAUUUGUAUUUUUAUACCCAAUCAUAAAUGAAUACGCUGAACCAAGAGAUUUCUAUUAAAUAAUGUUAUACCCUUAAAAAAUUUCAUUAAGUAACAUCCCCAAUUUAUCCAAAUCAAUAAAAUACAAAACAUGUAUGAGUAAAACAUUGAGAUUAAAUAGGUUUAGAAGAAGAUAUGUAUUGAACAUUAAAAAUUAAUUUAAAAUAACUAUACUUAUAUCCCUUAAAGCAAUCAUAAAAUGAAAAUCUUCCUAUAUCUGAUAAUUUAAACAAUUAACAUAAUAUAACGAUUAAAAAUAUGCUAAAAUAUAAUAUAAGCUUAGGCGGCGAGUAGAAAUGAAAAAGAAAAAAGCGCAAUAAUUUACUAAAGAAAAUGAAAAAGAAAAAAGAAAUAGAGUAAUUACAAGAAAAUGAAAUAUUGUAAGACCUGAUAUUAGAAACAACUCUCCAAUCCAUUUUUAGUGUUACUUAAGCCACCACCCGUAUUAUUGUGAGAUCUCAUAAUCCUAAACAAACAUCUCAAUCUCAUCAAAACAAUAUGAAAAACCUAUUUUAAUCAAUUGUGGUGUGCUGACGCACCCGCAUAAAGAGGAUAAACUUGAAAAAGAGAAACACAGAUGAAUAAGUCGGACAAAUAAAAUAGUAGAGAUGUUGUAACCUCAAAAGAUCAAUCCUUAUCAAGGAAAGAAAUCAGUUUAUCCUUUAACAUUUGAUAGAUUAAGAAUGAAAUUAGCAUAAAACGAUAGAAAAAACAAGAAAUUAUUACAAUGUUUCCAGCAAUACGUAUUUUUUUACCCUUUGAUGAUUUUACAAUCAUGAACUGAAUAUGAAACAGAGAUUUCUAUUAAAUAAUGUAGAGGGUGGCAAUAUUUCUGGGAAUAAGUACAUCCUCUCCUGGCGAGUGAUAAACAUGAUCAAACAUGUGAUUGUAGUUGGGCAUGGAGUAACGAAUAACCUACACAUAAUUAGUUGAGGAAAGAUAGUAUGUGGGUAACAUCAAAUAUAUUAAAUACAAUCAUACUAUGUGAAUCCUUAAUACAUAAAAUGUGACUUCGAUAGUCUCUAAUAAUAUUAAUAAACAUAAGUCUACAGAUUAAAAAUAUGAAAAAACUAAUUAUAAGUAGAAAAUGAAAAAAGAAAAAAUAAAAAUCAGAAUAAUUACAACCAAUUUAAAAUGACUACCGUUAUGCGUAUAAAGGAAACCAACUCAAUACGUUUUAUCAAACAGUGUGUUACACUACCCACGUUUUUUUGUGAGAUCCUUCAUAAUCCUUAACAAAAAUUUCUCACAUCUCCAUCAAAAAAACAAUAGAAAAAACCCUAUCAUAAUCAUUGUGAUGCAAAGAAAUAAAAUUUGAAAUUAGAGGAAACACAAAUGAUAGAGUGACAAAAUAAACAGUUAGAGAUGAUAUAACCUUCAAGAUUAACCAUUAUCAGAAUCACCUUGGGGGGGGGGGAUCCGUACAUUUGGUAGAUAGAAAAAAAUUACUCAUAAUAAGAUAGAAAAAAAGGAAAAUAUUGACAAUUUUUCAGCAUUCCGUAUUUUUUUACCCUUUGUAUUUGUUUUAUAAAUCUAAACUGCUUAAACCAUAGUAUUUCUAUAAGUAAUGUAAGCUAAAUAUUUUUAUUAUUAAGUACAUCCUCAAUUCUAUAAAUUAAUCAAACAUGUAAUGAGUAACAAAACAUUGACAUUAAAUAAAUUAAGAAAGUUUGAACAUCAAAAUUAAUUAAAUAUUACUUAUAUCCUUAAGACAUAAAAUUGUCAUCAUCUAUAUUCUGAUAUUAAAAAUUGAACAUAAGUUACACAGAUUAAAAAAAAUAUUGCUAAAAUCACUAAUUUAAGUAGAAAAUAAAAGAAAAGAAAAGAAUAAUUACAAGAAAAUGAAAAAGAAAAAGGAAAAUAGAACAAUUAGAAGAAAAUGAAAAUGCGACUUUAUGUUAUAAAGGAAACAAAAUCAAUCAUUUCAAGUGUACAUUAGACCACUUGUAUUUAUUGUGAGAUCUCAUAAUCCGAACAAACAUCGCAAUCUCAUCAAAUAAUAACGAAAAAACCCUAUCUAAUCAUUGGUGACGCCAAGAAUAAAAUGGAAAAUAAAGAGGAAACACAGAUGAAAUGGGUGACAAAAUAAAAAGGUAGAAUUGUGUAACCUUCAAAAAGGAUCAACCUAUAUCAGAAAUCACUGAUCUGUAAUUUGAUACCAUAAGAAUGAAAAAUUACUCAUAAAAGAUAGCAAAGAAAAAGAAAUAUUGACAAUUUCCAGCAGUACGUAUUCUUUUUUUUUUGUACCCUUUGUAUUUUGUUUAUACAAUCAUUAAGUGAAUCUGAACAGAGACUUCUCUAUUAAUAAUGUUAAGCAAAUAUUUUAAGUUAAGUACAUCCCCAUUCUAUACAAAAUUUCAAACAUGUAAUGAGUAAAAACAUUGAGAUUAUAUAGUUUAGAAAAGAUAUGUAUUGAACAUUCAAAAUUAAUUCGAAUUAUAUAUAUCCUUAAGAACAUAAAAUGUCCCAUCUUCUUAUAUUCUGAUAAUCAAAAACAAUUAACAUAAGUUAUACUGAUUAAAAAAUAUGCUAAAAUACUAAUUUAUAAGUAGAAAAUGAAGAAGAAAAAAAAAAGCAUAAUUACAAGAAACUGAAAAAGAAAAAAAAGAAAAUAUAAUAAUUACGAAGAAAAUGAAAAUUGAGUACUGUAUGGAUUAGGAAACCAACUCAAUCAUUUUUCCAGUGUUACAUUAGCACCACCUGUAUUAUUGUGAGAUCCUCAUAAUCCUAACAAAACAUUCUCAAUCUCAUUCAAAAAGCAAUACGAAAAAACCUUUCAUAAUCAUGGUGAGCAAUAAGUAAUUGAAAUAGAGGAAACACAGAUGAUGAAUAGGGUGACAAAUAAAAAAGGUAGAGAUGUUGUAACCUUCAAAAGAUCAAACCUAUAUCAGGAAAUCAAUUACAUUUGAUAGAUAAGAAUGAACAGAUUACUCAUAAGAUUAGAAAAAAUAAAGGAAUUAUUACAAUUUCUCUGCAGUACGUUAUUUUUUUUACCCUGUAUAUUGUUUAUACAAUCAUAAAGUGAUAUGAACCAGAGAUUUCUAUUAAAAUAAUGUAAGCUAAAUAUUUCUAUAAGUUUACAUCCUCACAUUAUAUAUAUCAAUCAACAUGGUGAAUGAGUAAACAAACCUUGACAUUAAUUAGUUUAGAAAGAUAUGUAUUUAACAUCAAAAUUAAUUUAAAUAUAUACUUAUAUCCUAAGAAACAAAAAAUGUCCAUCUUCUAUAUUCUGAUAAUGAAUUAAUUAACAUAAGUUCUACAGAUUAAAAAAUAUGAUAAAAUACUAAUUAAAGUAGGAAAAUGAAAAGAAAAAUAAAUAGAUUUAAUUACAAGAAAAUGAAAGAAAAAAGAAAAUAAAUAAACAACAAAUUUUAAAAUGAGACCGUAUUGUUUAAAGGGAAACCAACUCAAUAAGUUUUCCAGUGUUACACUAGCACCCUUAUUAUUGUGAAGAUCCUGCAUAACGCUAACAAGAAAAUCUCAAUCUCAUCAAAACAAUAGAAAAACCCUAGUCAUAAUCAUUGGUCGAUGCAAAGAAUAAAAUUGAAAAUAACAGGAAACACAAUAAUAGCAAGUGACAAAAUAAAACCAAGUUAGAGAUGUAUAACCUUCAAAAAUUAAACCUAUACCAGAAAUCACUUGAUCCUUACAUUUGGGUAGAUAAGAAAGAAAUUACUCAUAAAAGAUAAAAAAAAAAAGGAAAAUUAUGACAAUUUUUCAGGCAGUACGUAUUUGUUUACCCUUUUUUAUUUUGUUAUACAAUCUAAACUGAUUAAUGAACCAUAGAUUUCUAUUAAGUAAUGUAAGCCUAAUAUUUAUAUUAAGUACAAUUCCUCAUAUUCAAUAAUUAAAUUCAAACAAUGUAAUGAGUAACAAACAUUGACAUUGAAAUAAAUUAGAAAGAUAUGGUAUUGAACACAAAAUAAAUUAAAUAUAUACUUAUACUCUUAAGAACAUUAAAAUGUCAUCUUCUUAUAUUCUGAUAAUUAAACAAUACUAACAUAGUUACACAGAUUAAAAUAUGCUAAAAUAACGAAUUAUAAGUAGGAAAUGAAAAAGAAAAAAAAAAAAAGAAUAAUUACAAGAAAAUGAAAAAGAAAAAAGGAAAAUAGAAACAAUUAGAAGAAAAUGAAAAAUGAGGCUUUAUGUAUUAAGGAAAAACCCAACUCAAUCAUUUUUCAAGUGUACAUAGCACCACUUGUAUUAUUGUGAAUCACUCAAUCCUAACAAAACAUCUCAAUCUCAUCAAAAUAAUUACGAAAAAAAACCCGAUCAUAAUUCAUUGGUGACGACAAGAAAUUAAAAUUGAAAAUAAGAGGAACACAGUGAAUAGGGUGGACAAAAUAAAAAGGGUAUUAGAUGUGUAAACCUUCAAAAGAUCAACCGAUGAUCAGAAAUUCACUUUUGAUCGUACCUUUGAUACAAAAAGAAUGAAGAUUAUCAUAAAAGAUAGAAAGAAAAAGAAAAUAUAGACAAUUUUUCAGUAUACGUAUUUUUUUUCCCUUUGUUUUUGUUAUAUUACAAUCUAAAGUGAAUCCUGAACACAGAGAUUUCUAUUAAAUAAUGUAAGCUAAAUAUUUUAUUAAAAGUUACAUCCCCAUUUCUAUAAUAACAAACAUGUAAUGAGUAAAAAACAUUGAGAUUAAAUAGUGAAAGAUAUGUAUGUGAACUCAAAAAGUUAAUUCAAUAUCAUACUUACUAUUCCUUAAGAACAUAAAAUGUCAUCUUCUAUAUUCUGAUAAUUAAAACAAUUAACAUAAGUUAUACUGAUAAAAAAAUAUGCUAAAAAUACUAAUUAUAAGUAGAAAUGAAACAGAAAAAAAAGAAUAAUUACAGGAAAUGAAAAAGAAAAAAAGAAAUAGAAUAAUUACAGAAAACUGAAAAUGAGAUGUGAUGUAUUAAAGAGAAACUCAAUCAAUUUUUCCAGUGUUACAUUGCACCACCUUGUAUUAUUGUGAGAUCCUCAUUUCCUAACAAACAUCUCAAUCUUCAUCAAAACAAUCGAAAACCUUAUCAUAAUCUUGUGACGCAGAAUAAAAUUGGAAAAUAAGGAGGAAAACACAGAUGAAUAGGGUGACAAAAUAAAAAAAGGUAGAGAUGUGUAACCUUCAAAAGAUCAACCUAUAUCAGAAUCAUUUGAUCUGACAUUUGAAGAUAAGAAUGAAUUACUCAUAAAAGAUAGGAAAAAAAUAAGGAUUAUUACAAUUUUGCCGGCAGUACGGAUUUUUUACCCCUUUGUAUAUUGUUUAUACCCAAUCAUAAGUAAAUAUGAAACCAGAGAUUUCCUAUUAUUCAAUUAGUUUACUUCAUCAUAAUAUAAUAAUAUAUUAUCUUUUCCUCAUAAUUUCUUUACUCACAAUCGAUUAUAAAUAAUGUAAGUCUAAAUAUUUCUAACAAGUACAUCCUCAAUUAUAUAUAUCAAUCAAACAUGUAAAUGUAGUAACAAUCCUUGACAUAAAAUUAGUUUAGAAAGAUAUGUAUUUAACAUUCAAAAUUAAUUAAACAUAUAGACUUAUAUCCUAGAACAGUAAAAUGUCAUCUUCUAUUUUCUAUUUUAAUUAAUAAUUAACAUAAGUUCUACAGAUUAAAAAAUUAUGUAAAAUACUAAUUAUAAGUAGAAAAUGAAAAGAAAAAAAUAAAAUAGAUUAAUUACCAGAAAUGAAAAAGAAAAAAAGAAAAUAGAAUAUAAACAACAAAUUUAAAUGAGACCGUCAUGUAUUUAUAAAGAAACCAACUCAAUAAAGGUUCCCAGUUGUUACACUAGCACGCACGUUUUUAUUGUGAGAUCCUCAUAACGCUAACAAACAUCUCAAUCUCAUCAAAAAUACGAAAAACUCCCUAUCAGUAAAUCAUUGGUGAUGCAAGAAUAUUUGAAAAUACAGGAAAACACAAAUGGAAUAGAGUGACAAAAGUAAACAAAGUUAAGGAGAUGUAUAAACCUUCAAAAGAUUUAAACCUAUACCAGAAAUCACUUGAUCCGUACAUUUGGUAGAUAAGAAAGGAAAAAUUACUCAUAAAGAUAGAAAAAAAAAAGGAAAAAUAUUUGACCAAUUUUUUUCAGCAGUACGUAUAUUUUUACCCUUUUUAUUUGUUUAUACAAUCAUAAACAUGAUUAUGAACCAUAGAUUUCUAUUAAGUAAUGUAAGCCAAUAUUUAUAUUAAGGUACAUCGUCAAUUCUAUAAAUUCAAUCGAAACAUUAAUUGAGUAACAACAUUUAACAUUUAAUAAAAUUAGAAGAUAUCUAUUGACAUCAAAAUUAAUUAAAUAUAUUUCUUAUAUCUUAAGAACAUAAAAUGUCAUCUUCUAUAUUCUGAUAUUAAAAAUUAACAUAAGUUACACAGAUUAAAAAAUAUGCUAAAAUACUAAUUAUAAGUAGAAAAUGAAAAAGAAAAAAAGAGAAAAGAAUAAUUACAAGAAAAAUUGAAAAAGAAAAAAGGAAAUGAACAGGAUUAGAAGAAAAUGAAAAUGAGACUGGUAUGUAUUAAAGGAAAACGAUCAAUCAUUUUUCCAUGUUACAUAGCACCACCUUGUAUUAUUGUAGAUCCUCAUAAUCCUAACAAAAUCUCCAAUCUCAUCAAAACAUACCAAAAACCCUAUCAUAAUCAUUGGCUGACGCAAGAUAAAAUUGAAAAUAAGAGAAACACAGAUGAAUAGGGUAGUUUAGAAAGAUAUGUAUUGAACAUCAAAAUUAAUUAAAUAUAUACUUAUAUCCUUAAGAACAUAAAAUGUCAUCUUCUAUAUUCUGAUAAUUAAACAAUUAACAUAAGUUAUACUGAUUAAAAAAAUGCUAAAAUACUAAUUAUAAGUAGAUAAUGAAAAAGAAAAAAAGAAAAUAGAAUAAUAACAACAAAUUUAAAAUAAGACCGUAUGGUAUAAAGGAAACCAACUCAAUCCGUUUUCCAGUGUUACACUAGCACCACGUUUAUUAUUGUGAGAUCCUCAUAAUCCUAACAAAAAUCUUAAUCUCAUCAAAACAAUACGAAAAACCCUAUCAUAAUCAUUGGUGAUGCAAGAAUAAAAUUGAAAAUAACAGGAAACACAAAUGAAUAGAGUUAAAAAAUAAACAAGUUAGAGAUGUCUAACCUUCAAAAGAUUAACCUAUAUCAGACAUCACUUGGUCCAUACAUUUGAUAGAUAAGAAAGAAAAUUACUCAUAAAAGAUAGAAAAAAAAGGAAAAUAUGACAAUUUUUCAGCAGUACGUAUUUUUUUAACCUUUGUAUUUUGUUUAUACAAUCAUAAACUGAUUAUGAACCAGAGAUUUCUAUUAUGUAAUGUAAGCUAAAUAUUUGGAUUAAGUACAUCCUCAAUUAUAUAAAUCAAUCAAACAUGUAAUGAGUAACAAACAUUGACAUUAAGUAGUAUAGAAAGGUAUGUAUUGAACAUCAAAAUCAAUUAAAUAUAUACUUAUAUCCUUAAGAACAUAAAAUGUCAUCUUCUAUAUUCUGAUAAUUAAACAAUUAACAUAAGUUAUAAAAUUAAAAAUAUGCUAAAAUACUAAUUAUAAGUAGAAAAUGAAAAAGAAAAAAGAAAAAAGAAUAAUUACAAGAAAAUGAAAAAGAAAAAAAGAAAAAAGAAUAAUUACAAGAAAAUGAAAAUGAGACUGGAUUUAUUAAAGGAAACCAACUCAAUCAUUUUUCUAGUGUUAUAUUAGCACCACCUGUAUUAUUGUGAGAUCCUCAUAAUCCUAACAAACAUCUCAAUCUCAUCAAAACAAUACGAAAAGCCCUAUCAUAAUCAUUGGUGACGCAAGAAUAAAAUUGAAAAUAAGAGGAAACACAAAUGAAUAGGGUGACAAAAUAAAAAAGGUAGAGAUGUGUAACCUUCAAAAGAUCAACCUAUAUCAGAAUUCACUUGAUCUGUAUAUUUGAUAGAUAAGAAUGAAAAUUACUCAUAAAUGAUAGAAAAAAAAAUAAAAUAUGACAAUUUUUCAGCAAUACGUAUUUUUUUACCCUUUGUAUUUUGUUUAUACAAUCAUCAAGUGAAUAUGAACCAGAGAUUUCUAUUAAAUAAUGUAAGCUAAAUUUUCUUCAUUAAGUACAUCCCCAAUUAUAUAAAUCAAUCAAACAUGUAAUGAGUAAAAAACAUUGACAUUAAAUAGUUUAGAAAGAUAUGUAUUGAUCAUCAAAAUUAAUUAAAUAUAUACUUAUAUCCUUAAGAACAUAAAAUGUAAUCUUCUCUAUUCUGAUAAUAAUUAUAAGUAGAAAAUGGAAAAGAAAAAAGAAAAAAGUAUAAUUACAAGAAAAUGAAAAAGAUAAAAAGAAAAAAUAGAAUAAUUACAAGAAAAUGAAAAUGAGACUGUAUGUAUUAAAAAAAACCAACUCAAUCAUUUUUCCAGUGUUACAAUAGCACCACCUGUAUUAUUGUAAGAUCCUCAUAAUCCUAACAAACAUCUCAAUCUCAUCAAAACAAUACGAAAAACCCUAUCAUAAUCAUUGGUGACGCAAGAAUAAAAUUGGAAAUAAGAGGAAACACAGAUGAAUAGGGUGACAAAAUAAAAAGGGUAGAGAUGUGUAAUUGGAAAUAAGAGGAAACACAGAUGAAUAGGGUGACAAAAUAAAAAGGGUAGAGAUGUGUAACCUUCAAAAGAUCAACCUAUAUCAGAAAUCACUUGAUCCAAACAUUUGAUAGAUGAGAAUGAAAGCUACUCAUAAAAGAUAGAAAAAAAAAAGAAAAUAUGACAAUUAUCCAGCAGUACAUAUUUUUUUUGUUUAUACAAUCAUAAAGUGAAUAUGAACCAAAGAUUUCCAUUAAAUAAUGUAAGCUAAAUAUUUUCAUUAAGUACAUCCCCAAUUAUAUAAAUCAGUCAAACAUGUAAUGAGUAAAAACAUUGACAUUAAAUAGUUUAGAAAGAUAUGUAUUGAACAUCAAAAUUAAUUAAAUAUAUACUUGUAUCCUUAAGAACAUAAAAUGUCAUCUUUUAUAUUCUGAUAAUUAAACAAUUACCAUAAGUUAUACUGAUUAAAAAUAAUGCUAACAUACUAAUUAUAAGUAGAAAAUGAAAAAGAAAAAAAGAAAAUAGAAUAAUAACAACAAAUUUAAAAUGUAAUGAGUAACAAACAUUGACCUUAAUUAGUUUAGGAAGAUAUGUAUUGAACAUCAAAAUUAAUUAAAUAUAUACUUAUAUCCUUAAGAACAUAAAAUGUCAUCUUCUAUAUUCUGAUAAUUAAACAAUUAACAUAAGUUAUAAUGAUUAAAAAAUAAGCUAAAAUACCAAUUAUAAGUAGAAAAUGAAAAAGAAAAAAAGAAAAUAGAAUAAUUACAAGAAAAUGAAAAAGAAAAAAAAACAAAAUAGAAUAACUACAAGAAAUUUAAAAUGAGACCGUAUGGUAUAAAGGAAACCAACUCAAUCAGUUUUCCAGUGUUACACUAGCACCACGUUUAUUAUUGUGAGAUCCUCAUAAUCCUAACAAAAAUCUCAAUCUCAUCAAAACAAUACGAAAAACCCUAUCAUAAUCAUUGGUGAUGCAAGAAUAAAAUUGAAAAUAAUAGGAAACACAAAUGAAUAGAGUGACAAAAUAAACAAGUUAGAGAUAUGUAACCUUCAAAAUAUUAACCUAUAUCAGAAAUCACUUGAUCCGUACAUUUCAUAGAUAAGAAAGAAAAUUACUCAUAAAAGAUAGAAAAAAAAGGAAAAUAUGACAAUUUUACAGCAGUACGUAUUUUUUUACCCUUUGUAUUUUGUUUAUACAAUCAUAAAGUGAUUAUGAACUAGAGAUUUUUAUUAAUUAAUGUAAGCUAAAUAUUUCUAUUAAGUACAUCCUCAAUGAUAUAAAUCAAUAAAACAUGUAAUGAGUAACAAACAUUAGCAUUAAAUAGUUUAGAAAGAUAUGUAUUGAACAUAAAAAUUAAAUAAAUAUAUACUUAUAUCCUUAAGAACAUAAAAUGUCAUCUUCUAUAUUCUGAUAAUGAAACAAUUAACAUAAGUUAUACAGAUUAAAAAAUAUGCUAAAAUACUAAUUAUAAGUAGAAAAUGAAAAAGAAAAAAAGAAAAUAGAAUAAUUACAAGAAAAUGAAGAAGAAAAAAAGAAAAUAGAAUAAUUACAAGAAAAUGAAGAAGAAAAAAAGAAAAUAGAAAAAUUACAAGAAAAUGAAAAUGAGACAGUAUGUAUUAAAGGAAACCAACUCAAUCAUUUUUCCAAUGUUACAUUAGCACCAUCUGUAUUAUUAUGAGAUCCUCACAAUCCUAGCGAACAUCUCAAUCUCAUCAAAACAAUACGAAAAACCCUAUCAUAAUCAUUGGUGACGCAAGAAUAAAAUUGAAAAUAAGAGGAAACACAUAUGAAUAGGGUGACAAAAUAAAAAAGGUAGAGAUGUGUAACGUUCAAAAGAUCAACCUAUAUCAGAAAUCACUUGUUCUGUACAUUUGAUAGAUCAGAAUGAAAAUUACUCAUAAAAGAUAGAAAAAGAAAAGAAAAUAUGACAAUUUUACAGCAGUACGUAUUUUUUUACCCUUUGUAUUUUGUUUAUACAAUCAUAAAGUGAAUACGAACCAGAGAUUUCUAUUAAAUAAUGUAAGCUAAAUAUUUUCAUUAAGUACAUCCCCAAUUAUAUAAAUCAAUAAAACAUGUAAUGAGUAAAAAACAUUGGCAUUAAAUAGUUUAGAAAGAUAUGUAUUGAACAUCAAAAUUAAUUAAAUAUAUAGUUAUAUCCUUAAGAACAUAAAAUGUCAUCUUCUAUAUUCUGAUAAUUAAAAAAUUAACAUCAGUUAUACAGAUUAAAAAAUAUGCUAAAAUACUAAUUAUAAGUAGAAAAUGAAAAAGAAAAAAAGAAAAAAGAAUAAUUACAAGAAAAUGAAAAUCUAAAAAAGGAAAUAGUAUAAUUACAAGAAAAUGAAAAUGAGACCGUAUGGUAUAAAGGAAACCAACUCAAUCAGUUUUCCAGUGUUACGCUAGCACCACCUUUAUUAUUUUGAGAUCCUCAUAAUCCUAACAAAUAUCUCAAUCUCAUCAAAACAAUACAAAAAACCCUAUCAUAAUCAUUGGUGAUGCAAGAAUAAAAUUGAAAAUAAUAGGAAACACAAAUGAAUAGAGUGACAAAAUAAACAAGUUAGAGGUAUGUAACCUUCAAAAUAUUAACCUAUAUCAGAAAUCACUUGAUCCGUACAUUUCAUAGAUAAGAAAGAAAAUUACUCAUAAAAGAUAGAAAAAAAAGGAAAAUAUGACAAUUUUACAGCAGUACGUAUUGUUUUACCCUUUGUAUUUUGUUUAUACAAUCAUAAAGUGAUUAUGAACUAGAGAUUUUUAUUAAUUAAUGUAAGCUAAAUAUUUCUAUUAAGUACAUCCUCAAUUAUAUAAAUCAAUAAAACAUGUAAUGAGUAACAAACAUUGGCAUUAAAUAGUUUAGAAAGAUAUGUAUUGAACAUCAAAAUUAAUUAAAUAUAUAAUUAUAUCCUUAAGAACAUAAAAUGUCAUCUCCUAUAUUCUGAUAAUUAAAAAGUUAUCAUAAGUUAUACAGAUAAAAAAAUAUGCUAAAAUACUAAUUAUAAGUAGAAAAUGAAAAAGAAAAAAAGAAAAUAGAAUAAUUACAAGAAAAUGAAGAAGAAAAAAAGAAAAUAGAAAAAUUACAAGAAAAUGAAAAUGAGACAGUAUAUAUUAAAGGAAACCAACUCAAUCAUUUUUCCAGUGUUACAUUAGCACCACCUGUAUUAUUGUGAGAUCCUCAUAAUCCUAACAAACAUAUCAAUCUCAUCAAAACAAUAUGAAAACCCUAUCAUUAUCAUUGGUGACGCAAGAACAAAAUUGAAAAUAAGAGAAAACACAGAUGAAUAGGGUGACAAAAUAAAAAAGGUAGAGAUGUGUAACCUUCAGAAGAUCAACCUAUCUCAGAAAUCACUUGAUUUGUUCAACCUAUUUCAGCAGUACGUAUUUUUUAACCCUUUGUAUUUUGUUUAUACAAUCAUAAAGUGAAUACGAACCAGAGAUCUCUAUUAAAUAAUGUAACCUAAAUAUUUUCAUUAAGUACAUCCCCAAUUAUAUAAAUCAAUCAAACAUGUAAUGAGUAAAAAACAUUGACAUUAAAUAGUUUAGAAAGAUAUGUAUUGAACAUCAAAAUUAAUUAAAUAUAUACUUAUAUCCUUAAGAACAUAAAAUGUCAUCUUCUAUAUUCUGAUAAUUAAACAAUUAACAUAAGUUAUGUAGAUUAAAAAAUAUGCUAAAAUACUAAUUAUAAGUAGAAAAUGAAAAAGAAAAAAAGAAAAAAGAAUAAUUACAAGAAAAUGAAAAAGAAAAAAUGAAAAUAGAAUAAUUACAAGAAAAUGAAAAUGUGACCGUAUGUUAUAAAGGAAACCAACUCAAUCAUUUUUCCAGUGUUACAUUAGCACCAUCUUUAUUAUUUUGAGAUCCUUAUAAUCCUAACAACCAUCUCAAUCUCAUCAAAAUAAUACGAAAACCCUAUCAUAAUCAUUGGUGACGCAAGAAUAAAAUUGAAAAUAAGAAGAAACACAGAUGAAUAGAGUGACAAAAUGAGAGAGUUAGAGAUGUGUAACCAUCAAAAGAUCAACCUAUAUCAGAAAUCACUUGAUCUGUACAUUUGAUAGAUAAGAAAGAAAAUUACUCAUAAAAGAUAGAAAAAAAAGGAAAAUAUGACAAUUUUUCAGCAGUACGUAUUUUUUUACCCUUUUUAUUUUGUUUAUACAAUCAUAAAGUGAUUAUGAACCAGAGUUUUCUAUUAAGUAUUGUAAAGUAAAUAUUUAUAUUAAGUACAACCUCAAUUAUAUAAAUCAAUCAAACAUGUAAUGAGUAACAAACCUUGACAUUAAUUAGUUUAGAAAGAUAUGUAUUGAACAUCAAAAUUAAUUAAAUAUAUACUUAUAUCCUAAAGAACAUAAAAUGUCAUCUUCUAUAUUCUGAUAAUUAAACAAUUAACAUAAGUUAUAUAGAUUAAAAAAUAUGCUAAAAUACUAAUUAUAAGUAGAAAAUGAAAAAGAAAAAAAGAAAAAAGAAUAAUUACAAGAAAAUGAAAAAGAAAAAAUGAAAAUAGAAUAAUUACAAGAAAAUGAAAAUGUGACCGUAUGUUAUAAAGGAAACCAACUCAAUCAUUUUUCCAGUGUUACAUUAGCACCAUCUUUAUUAUUUUGAGAUCCUUAUAAUCCUAACAACCAUCUCAAUCUCAUCAAAAUAAUACGAAAACCCUAUCAUAAUCAUUGGUGACGCAAGAAUAAAAUUGAAAAUAAGAAGAAACACAGAUGAAUAGAGUGACAAAAUGAGAGAGUUAGAGAUGUGUAACCAUCAAAAGAUCAACCUAUAUCAGAAAUCACUUGAUCUGUACAUUUGAUAGAUAAGAAAGAAAAUUACUCAUAAAAGAUAGAAAAAAAAGGAAAAUAUGACAAUUUUUCAGCAGUACGUAUUUUUUUACCCUUUUUAUUUUGUUUAUACAAUCAUAAAGUGAUUAUGAACCAGAGUUUUCUAUUAAGUAUUGUAAAGUAAAUAUUUAUAUUAAGUACAACCUCAAUUAUAUAAAUCAAUCAAACAUGUAAUGAGUAACAAACCUUGACAUUAAUUAGUUUAGAAAGAUAUGUAUUGAACAUCAAAAUUAAUUAAAUAUAUACUUAUAUCCUAAAGAACAUAAAAUGUCAUCUUCUAUAUUCUGAUAAUUAAACAAUUAACAUAAGUUAUAUAGAUUAAAAAAUAUGCUAAAAUACUAAUUAUAAGUAGAAAAUGAAAAAGAAAAAAAGAAAAAAGAAUAAUUACAAGAAAAUGAAAAAGAAAAAAUGAAAAUAGAAUAAUUACAAGAAAAUGAAAAUGUGACCGUAUGUUAUAAAGGAAACCAACUCAAUCAUUUUUCCAGUGUUACAUUAGCACCAUCUUUAUUAUUUUGAGAUCCUUAUAAUCCUAACAACCAUCUCAAUCUCAUCAAAAUAAUACGAAAACCCUAUCAUAAUCAUUGGUGACGCAAGAAUAAAAUUGAAAAUAAGAAGAAACACAGAUGAAUAGAGUGACAAAAUGAGAGAGUUAGAGAUGUGUAACCAUCAAAAGAUCAACCUAUAUCAGAAAUCACUUGAUUUGUACAUUUCAUAGAUAAGAAAGAAAAUUACUCAUAAAAGAUAGAAAAAAAAGGAAAAUAUGACAAUUUUUCAGCAGUACGUAUUUUUUUACCCUUUUUAUUUUGUUUAUACAAUCAUAAAGUGAUUAUGAACCAGAGUUUUCUAUUAAGUAUUGUAAAGUAAAUAUUUAUAUUAAGUACAACCUCAAUUAUAUAAAUCAAUCAAACAUGUAAUGAGUAACAAACCUUGACAUUAAUUAGUUUAGAAAGAUAUGUAUUGAACAUCAAAAUUAAUUAAAUAUAUACUUAUAUCCUAAAGAACAUAAAAUGUCAUCUUCUAUAUUCUGAUAAUUAAACGAUUAACAUAAGUUAUAUAGAUUAAAAAAUAUGCUAAAAUACUAAUUAUAAGUAGAAAAUGAAAAAGAAAAAAAGAAAAAAGAAUAAUUACAAGAAAAUGAAAAAGAAAAAAAGAAAAUAGAAUAAUUACAAGACAAUGAAAAUGAGACCGUAUGUAUUAAAGGAAACCAACCCAAUCAUUUUUCUAGUGUUACAUUAGCACCAACUUUAUUAUUGUGAGAUCCUCAUAAUCCUAACAAACAUCUCAAUCUCAUCAAAACAAUACGAAAAACCCUAUCAUAAUCAUUGGUGAUGCAAGAAUAAAAUUGAAAAUAAGAGGAAACACAGAUGAAUAGAGUGACAAAAUAAACAAGUUAGAGAUGUGUAACCUUCAAAAGAUCAACCUAUAUCAGAAAUCACUUGAUCUGUACAUUUGAUAGAUAAGAAAGAAAAUUACUCAUAAAAGAUAGAAAAAAAAGGAAAAUAUGACAAUUUUUCAGCAGUACGUAUUUUUUUACCCUUUUUAUUUUGUUUAUACAAUCAUAAAGUGAUUAUGAACCAGAGUUUUCUAUUAAGUAUUGUAAAGUAAAUAUUUAUAUUAAGUACAUCCUCAAUUAUAUAAAUCAAUCAAACAUGUAAUGAGUAACAAACCUUGACAUUAAUUAGUUUAGAAAGAUAUGUAUUGAACAUCAAAAUUAAUUAAAUAUAUACUUAUAUCCUAAAGAACAUAAAAUGUCAUCUUCUAUAUUCUGAUAAUUAAACGAUUAACAUAAGUUAUAUAGAUUAAAAAAUAUGCUAAAAUACUAAUUAUAAGUAGAAAAUGAAAAAGAAAAAAAGAAAAAAGAAUAAUUACAAGAAAAUGAAAAAGAAAAAAAGAAAAUAGAAUAAUUACAAGACAAUGAAAAUGAGACCGUAUGUAUUAAAGGAAACCAACCCAAUCAUUUUUCUAGUGUUACAUUAGCACCAACUUUAUUAUUGUGAGAUCCUCAUAAUCCUAACAAACAUCUCAAUCUCAUCAAAACAAUACGAAAAACCCUAUCAUAAUCAUUGGUGAUGCAAGAAUAAAAUUGAAAAUAAGAGGAAACACAGAUGAAUAGAGUGACAAAAUAAACAAGUUAGAGAUGUGUAACCUUCAAAAGAUUAACCUAUAUCAGAAAUCAAUUGUUCUGUACAUUUGAUAGAUAAGAAAGAAAAUUACUCAUAAAAGAUAGAAAAAAAAGGAAAAUAUGACAAUUUUUCAGCAGUACGUAUUUUUUUACCCUUUUUAUUUUGUUUAUACAAUCAUAAAGUGAUUAUGAACCAGAGUUUUCUAUUAAGUAUUGUAAAGUAAAUAUUUAUAUUAAGUACAUCCUCAAUUAUAUAAAUCAAUCAAACAUGUAAUGAGUAACAAACCUUGACAUUAAUUAGUUUAGAAAGAUAUGUAUUGAACAUCAAAAUUAAUUAAAUAUAUACUUAUAUCCUAAAGAACAUAAAAUGUCAUCUUCUAUAUUCUGAUAAUUAAACGAUUAACAUAAGUUAUAUAGAUUAAAAAAUAUGCUAAAAUACUAAUUAUAAGUAGAAAAUGAAAAAGAAAAAAAGAAAAAAGAAUAAUUACAAGAAAAUGAAAAAGAAAAAAAGAAAAUAGAAUAAUUACAAGACAAUGAAAAUGAGACCGUAUGUAUUAAAGGAAACCAACCCAAUCAUUUUUCUAGUGUUACAUUAGCACCAACUUUAUUAUUGUGAGAUCCUCAUAAUCCUAACAAACAUCUCAAUCUCAUCAAAACAAUACGAAAAACCCUAUCAUAAUCAUUGGUGAUGCAAGAAUAAAAUUGAAAAUAAGAGGAAACACAGAUGAAUAGAGUGACAAAAUAAACAAGUUAGAGAUGUGUAACCUUCAAAAGAUUAACCUAUAUCAGAAAUCAAUUGUUCCGUACAUUUGAUAGAUAAGAAAGAAAAUUACUCAUAAAAGAUAGAAAAAAAAGGAAAAUAUGACAAUUUUUCAGCAGUACGUAUUUUUUUACCCUUUGUAUUUUGUUUAUACAAUCAUAAAGUGAUUAUGAACCAGAGAUUUCUAUUAAAUAUUGUAAGCGAAAUAAUUAUAUUAAGUAAAUCCUCAAUUAUAUAAAUCAAUCAAACAUUUAUUGAGUAACAAACCUUGACAUUAAUUAGUUUAGAAAGAUAUGUAUUGAACAUCAAAAUUAAUUAAAUAUAUACUUAUAUCCUAAAGAACAUAAAAUGUCAUCUUCUAUAUUCUGAUAAUUAAACGAUUAACAUAAGUUAUAUAGAUUAAAAAAUAUGCUAAAAUACUAAUUAUAAGUAGAAAAUGAAAAAGAAAAAAAGAAAAAAGAAUAAUUACAAGAAAAUGAAAAAGAAAAAAAGAAAAUAGAAUAAUUACAAGACAAUGAAAAUGAGACCGUAUGUAUUAAAGGAAACUAACCCAAUCAUUUAUCUAGUGUUACAUUAGCACCAACUUUAUUAUUGUGAGAUCCUCAUAAUCCUAACAAACAUCUUAAUCUCAUCAAAACAAUAUGAAAAACCCUAUCAUAAUCCUUGGUGAUGCAAGUAUAAAAUUGAAAAUAAGAGGAAACACAGAUGAAUAGAGUGACAAAAUAAACAAGUUAGAGAUGUGUAACCUUCAAAAGACUAACCUAUAUCAGAAAUCAAUUGUUUCGUACAUUUGAUAGAUAAGAAAGAAAAUUACUCAUAAAAGAUAGAAAAAAAAGGAAAAAAUGACAAUUUUUCUGCAGUACGUAUUUUUUUACCCUUUGUAUUUUGUUUAUACAAUCAUAGAGUGAUUAUGAACCAGAGAUUUCUAUUAAAUAUUUUAAGCUAAAUGAUUAUAUUAAGUAAAUCCUCAGUUAUAUAAAUCAAUCAAACAUUUAUUGAGUAACAAACCUAGACAUUAAUUAGUCUAUAAAGAUAUGUAUUGAACAUCAAAAUUAAUUAAAUAUAUACUUAUAUGCUAAAGAACAUAAAAUGUCAUCUUCUAUAUUCUGAUAAUUAAACGAUUAACAUAAGUUAUAUAGAUUAAAAUAUAUGCUAAAAUACUAAUUAUAAGUAGAAAAUGAAAAAGAAAAAAAGAAAAAAGAGUAAUUACAAGAAAAUGAAAAAGAAAAAAAGAAAAUAGAAUAAUUACAAGACAAUGAAAAUGAGACCAUAUGUAUUAAAGGAAACAAACCCAAUCAUUUUUCUAGUGUUAAAUUAGCACCAACUUUAUUAUUGUGAGAUCCUCAUAAUCCUAACAAACAUCUCAAUCUCAUCAAAACAAUACGAAAAACCCUAUCAUAAUCAUUGGUGAUGCAAGAAUAAAAUUGAAAAUAAGAGGAAACACAGAUGAAUAGAGUGACAAAAUAAACAAGUUAGAGAAAGGUAACCUUCAAAAGAUUAACCUAUAUCAGAAAUCAAUUGUUCUGUACAUUUGAUAGAUAAGAUAGAAAAUUACUCAUAAAAGAUAGAAAAAAAAAGGAAAAUAUGACAAUUUUUCAGCAGUACGUAUUUUUUUACCCUUUGUAUUUUUUUUAUACAAUCAUAAAGUGAUUAUGAACCAGAGAUUUCUAUUAAAUAUUGUAAGCUAAAUAUUUAUAUUAAGUAAAUCCUCAAUUAUAUAAAUCAAUCAAAAAUUUAGUGAGUAACAAACCUUGAAAUUAAUUAAUUUAGAAUGAUAUGUAUUGAACAUCAAAAUUAAUUAAAUAUAUACUUAUAUCCUAAAGAACAUAAAAUGUCAUCUUUUAUAUUCUGAUAAUUAAACGAUUAACAUAAGUUAUAUAGAUUAAAAAAUAUGCUAAAAUACUAAUUAUAAGUAGAAAAAGAAAAAGAAAAAAAGAAAAAAGAAUAAUUACAAGAAAAUGAAAAAGAAAAAAAGAAAAAUGAAUAAUUACAAGACAAUGAAAAUGAGACCGUAUAUAUUAAAGGAAACCAACCCAAUCAUUUAUCUAGUGUUACAUUAGCACUAACUUUAUUAUUGUGAGAUCCUCAUAAUCCUAACAAACAUCUUAAUCUCAUCAAAACAAUAUGAAAAACCCUAUCAUAAUCAAUGGUGAUGCAAGAAUAAAAUUGAAAAUAAGAGGAAACACAGAUGAAUAGAGUGACAAAAUAAACAAGUUAGAGAUGUGUAACCUUCAAAAGAUUAACCUAUAUCAGAAAUCAAUUGUUCCGUACAUUUGAUAGAUAAGAAAGAAAAUUACUCAUAAAAGAUAGAAAAAAAAGGAAAAUAUGACAAUUUUUCAGCAGUACGUAUUUUUGUACCCUUUGUAUUUUGUUUAUACAAUCAUAAAGUGAAUAUGAACCAGAGAUUUCUAUUAAAUAUUGUAUGCAAAAUAAUUAAAUUAAGUAAAUCCUCAAAUAUAUAAAUAAAUCAAACAUUUAUUGAGUAACAAACCUUGACAUUAGUUAGUUUAGAAAGAUAUGUAUUGAAAAUCAAAAUUAAAUAAAUAUAUACUUAUAUCCUAAAGAACAUAAAAUGUCAUCUUUUAUUUUUUGAUAAUUAAACGAUUAACAUAAGUUAUAUUGAUUAAAAAAUAUGCUAAAAUACUAAGUAUAAGUAGAAAAUGAAAAAGAAAAAAAAAGAAAAAAGAAUAAUUAUAAGAAAAUGAAAAAGAAAAAAAUAAAAUAGAAUAAUUACAAGACAAUGAAAAUGAGACCGUAUGUAUUAAAGGAAACCAAUCCAAUCAUUUUUCUAGUGUUACAUUGGCACCAACUUUAUUAUUGUGAGAUCCUCAUAAUCCUAACAAACAUCUCAAUCUCAUCAAAACAAUACGAAAAACCCUAUCAUAAUCAUUGGUGAUGCAAGAAUAAAAU
rnacentral:lncRNA from 1 species